rnacentral:rRNA from 1 species
CCUGCUUCGGCAGGAGAAGCUCUGAACCGAAGCCCCGGUAAACGGCGGCCGUAAAAAAGUUGCGGCUUCCGGAAGGCAACUUUCGGAAACAAACCUGGCUAUAUGCUGGAAACUCCGCGUAUCCACGAGUUACUCCAUCAUGAAGGGAUGAUGAGUAAAAAAACUGUGGUGAGGCGGACAAUCAGCAGGGAAGCUCCCUGCAGAUGGCGUUUUCCCUUGCCAUCUGUAUAGCCCCUCAGAGACCAUACGCCGGGCUCCCGGGAAUUCUCGGGAUGAAGAUAUGGUCCACUCCUUGUGGCGACAUAAGGGUAAAGUGAACUAUAACGGUCCUAAGGUAGCGAAAUUCCUUGUCGGGUAAGUACCUGAACUUGCCCCUUUCCCAAGCAAUUGGGCUUGAAACACCGGCUCAUAUCGGAGAAGCCCUCCUACCUCGUGAAUGUGAGGUGUGGGGUAAUUCCGAGGGAACCUCUGGCCCUGAGGCCAUUGGACCCGUAACGACUGACCCGAAAGGGGAGGCGCACAGUCCUCCUGUGCGCAACACGCCGGCCCUCACGUUUGUUUGGUUCCUAUGGAGUCUUCCUUCAAAAAAGGAGGAGAGAUGCAAUUAGAUCCAUGGUAUGUCACUGGGUUAUGCGAUGGCGAAGCGAGUUUUAGUAUAAGCUUCAACCGACGCUCCAAGCUGAAAGUUGGUAUUGAAACGAGACCUUCAUUUUCAGUCACUUUAAAUGCUCGAGACCUGGAAUUGAUAAAAAGUCUAAGGGACUUUUUUAAAUGCGGAGCAAUAAGAUUUUCACGAAGCGAUGACACUUUUAAGUACGAGGUUCGGGCCAUUCGCGAUUUGACACACAAGAUAAAACCUCAUUUUCAGAAAUAUCCACUUCGUGGAAAUAAAGCCAGUGACUUUGACGCUUUUGCGAGAGUCGUUACUAUGGUUAGUGCUAAUCUCCAUCUUAAUGGAAGAGGCUUGAGAGAAAUUGUUGAGCUUGCGUUUGAAAUGAACAAGUCGGGAAAACGCAGGCUGACGAAGGAAGAAAUCCUAAGGGAACUUGUGAGGUGAAGGUAUAGUCUGCCUCUUGUGGAAACACAGGAAAAAAGGUGAAGUUCCGACCCGCACGAAAGGCGUAACGACAUGAGCGCUGUCUUAGAGAGGGGCACGGCGAAACUGUGGUACCGGUGAAGACGCCGGUUACCUGCCGCUGGACGGAAAGACCCCGGCACCUUAACUGCAGCCUAGCAUUGGAUUUUGGAACAUGAUGCGCAGAAUAGGUGGGAGGCUGUGAAGCCGCACCUCCGGGUGUGGUGGAGCCAUCAGUGAGAUACCACUCUUCAUGUUCUGAAGUUCUAACCUACUCCCCUUAGCGGGGAGGGGAACAGUGUUAGGUGGGUAGUUUGACUGGGGCGGUCGCCUCCUAAAAUGUAACGGAGGCGCCCUAAGGUUCCCUCAGGUUGUUUGGAAAUCAACCGCAGAGUGCAAAGGCAUAAGGGAGCUUGACUGUGAGACCGACGGGUCGAGCAGGUGCGAAAGCAGGGCUUAGUGAUCCGGUGGUCCCGUAUGGAAGGGCCAUCGCUCAACGGAUAAAAGGUACGCCGGGGAUAACAGGCUAAUAGUCUCCAAGAGCUCACAUCGACGAGACUGUUUGGCACCUCGAUGUCGGCUCAUCCCAUCCUGGGGCUGAAGCGGGUCCCAAGGGUCCGGCUGUUCGCCGGUUAAAGGGGUACGUGAGCUGGGUUUAGAACGUCGCGAGACAGUUCGGUCUCUAUCCACGGCAGGCGCAGGAGAUUUGAGGGGGGCUGUCCAUAGUACGAAAGGACCUGGAUGGACGAACCUCCGGUUUACCAGUUGUGCCGCCAGGCGCAGCGCUGGGUAGCUGUGUUCGGUAGCGAUAACCGCUGAAAGCAUAUAAGCGGGAAGCGCGCCCCAAGAUAAGAUCUCCCUCCCCGCAAGGGGCUAAAGGGCCCUCGUAGAUGACGAGGUUGAUAGGCUGGGUGUGUAAGCGCAGUGAUGCGUUGAGCUAACCAGUACUAAUAGCCCGUGAGGCUUGACCAU